rnacentral:rRNA from 1 species
AGUCAUACGCUCGUCUCAAAGAUUAAGCCAUGCAUGUGUAAGUAUAAAUAUUUAACUUUGAAACUGCGAAUGGCUCAUUAUAUCAGUUAUAGUUUAUUUGAUGAAAAGUACUACUUGGAUAACCGUAGUAAUUCUAGAGCUAAUACAUGAUAAAAUCCUCGACUUUGAAGAGGUGUAUUUAUUAGAAUGAAACCAAUAGACUUCGGUCUGUUUGUGAGUAAUAAUAACUAAUCGUAUCGCAUGCUUAGGUAGCGAUAUGUCUUUCAAGUUUCUGCCCUAUCAGCUUUGGAUGGUAGUGUAUUGGACUACCAUGGCAGUAACGGGUAACGAAGAAUUUGGGUUCGAUUUCGGAGAGGGAGCCUGAGAGAUGGCUACCACAUCCAAGGAAGGCAGCAGGCGCGUAAAUUACCCAAUCCUGACAUAGGGAGGUAGUGACAAUAAAUCACAAUGCGGAACUAUUAGUUUUGCAAUUGGAUUGAGAACAAUGUACAAAUGUUAUCGAUAAACAAUUGGAGGGCAAGUCUGGUGCCAGCAGCCGC